CCGUCUCCUACCCACCCUGGACCUACAACAAGGCUCCAGGUUCCAGGGUCUCAAGCAGGAAUAGCUCUUACAAGAGCUCAGGGAAUCCAAGGGAGUAUAGUGAUUAUAGCAAUCCCUUGUGGUGAAAUAGCGGUUCCCUACAAUAAGAGACAGAACUCAGUAUUGAGGGUGAAGAAGUCUGAUGUUUAAUGGAGGCACACUGCCUUUUAUGCUGGUUUCCCAACAAGGGUAACGCCCAGGUAGAACUUGUUGGGCACAGGG